rnacentral:rRNA from 1 species
GACGAACGCUGGCGGCGUGCUUAACACAUGCAAGUCGAACGGUGAAGCUCCAGCUUGCUGGAGUGGAUCAGUGGCGAACGGGUGAGUAACACGUGAGCAACCUGCCCCUGACUCUGGAAUAAGCGCUGGAAACGGCGUCUAAUACUGGAUACGAGAAGGGUCCGCAUGGGCACUUUCUGGAAAGUUUUUCGGUUGGGGAUGGGCUCGCGGCCUAUCAGCUUGUUGGUGAGGUAAUGGCUCACCAAGGCGACGACGGGUAGCCGGCCUGAGAGGGCGACCGGCCACACUGGGACUGAGACAUGGCCCAGACUCCUACGGGAGGCAGCAGUGGGGAAUAUUGCACAAUGGGCGAAAGCCUGAUGCAGCGACGCCGCGUGAGGGAUGACGGCCUUCGGGUUGUAAACCUCUUUCAGCAGGGAAGAAGCGAAAGUGACGGUACCUGCAGAAGAAGCACCGGCUAACUACGUG